CCAGACAAGCUUUAGGGAUAAAGGUAAUAUAUAACAUCCUUAAAAAUAAAUACGAAGAAAAUUAUAAAGUCCUCAAUAGGGAUACAAACUGGAUUAUAAUGACCAAAGGAAAAUCAAAAUCAGUAGUCGGAUUGUACUCUGUAACUCGGGAACAUGAAGUUGGAAUCGCUAGUAAUCGCGGAUCAGCAUGCCGCGGUGAAUAUGUACCCGG
rnacentral:ncRNA from 1 species